AUAAAUAAAAAGGAAACUAAAAAGAAAAAGAGAAAUAAAAAUAAAAAAAGGAAAAAUAAACAAAAUGGGGAAUUAACCCACGAAAACAAGCAGGUUCACACUUCACAAUUCACGCACCAUCAUCGUCAUGCCAACAUCACGCCAUCAUCAACUCAUCACGCAACACCAUCACAAUCACCAUCAUCGCAUCAUCAUCAACAUACCACAAUCAUCAUCAUCAUCAUCAUCAUUAAUCAUCAUCACACCAUGGUAGCACCAUCAACACGCCAUCACCAUCAUCGCAGCUUCGGAGCGGACGCCUCAAGGUUCACGGCAUUCAACCCAUUUCUUGACUUUGCUUUGGAGCGGACGCUUCGCCGGUUGAAGCGAACGCUUCAAUACUCACGACAUUUCAACUCGAUUUCGAUGCUUGUUUGCUGUGUUUUUGCUGCGACUUGGGGCAGUUUUAGGGGCCUUUUAUGGGAGGUAAGUGGUGCGUGGAAGAGGGCUGAAAUGGUGGCGGUUUGAGUGGUGUUUGGGGCUGUUUUGGUGGUGAUUUCAGGGGAAAUUUCUAGUUCAUCCCCUUGAUAUGUUAUGUUUUAAUAUCAAGGGGUUAAAAUGUAAAUUCGCAGAUGAAUAGGAACUUAACCAAUCUGUCAUGCUCCUUUUUCUUUUCUGUUACUUGUCGUGAGUUGUGUGGUUUGGUUAACUCUACUCUUGAGUUUAUUCUUUGUACUUGGUUAAACUGAAAUCUGGUUCCCAAUUCAAACAAAAGCUUUCGCUGCUCCUGAGUUUUGAAGAGAUCCAACACUAUUGUUCAUGUAUUUUCAGUGCCGAAUGCCCAGUUGGUUUUUCACGGCCUAUCUUAUUAUCGGUGCUGCUUGUUUGAUGUGGUGUCCUUUUCCAACCAUUCGAUUUGAACUCACCUUUUGCAGUUGAUGAAAAUUACGCUGACAGGAGUGCUGGAUCGUCGAGCUGUCUUCCUUUUGGCGAGAAGAAUUUUGCAUUUAAGCCAAAGCGCAAGAGAGGCGAAGCAGGCAGUGGGUCAAGAAAUUCAAGGAGUGAAGGGCAGUUUUCCAUUCUUUUUCUAGGCAAUUCAAAAUUUGACAACCGUUUUUUGGUGUUCGAAUGAGGGGGAAUUUGGAGGAGGUGCCUUUAAAUAGCAGGCUGGAGCUUUCGGCGGGAGUUGUGAUUUUCACAGUAGAAAAGUUUCAAAUUUCGUAAACGAAGGCGGGAAAUGAAUUAUGUGUCCAUUGCCAACUUGGCAAUCCGUGUGACAUGAGUGUUGUAGCAUGUUCACAGUCGUUCGAUCAAAAAUCAAAGGCUCUGAUGUAUGUUUAUCACAUUCACACGGAUUUAUAUGCUACUAUUUUAUUUUCAUUUUUCUUUUCAGUGUGAAUUAGUGUGUAAUGUGCCAAAUUUGUUGAUUGAUGUCAUUGUUAAUUAGUGUGUGAUUAUUUUUAA